UACAGAGGUCUCGAGCGUUAGGCGGAAUCACUGGGCUUAAAGCGUGUGUAGGCGGAUCGUUAAGUGCCCUGUGAAAUCCCACGGCUCAACCGUGGAACUGCUUGGCAUACUGGCGGUCUUGAGCAACCUAGGGGCGAGCGGAACAAAUGGUGGAGCGGUGAAAUGCGUAGAUAUCAUUUGGAACGCCAAUGGUGAAAACAGCUCGCUGGGGGUUUGCUGACGCUGAGACACGAAAGCCAGGGGAGCAAACGGG
rnacentral:rRNA from 1 species